AGAGUUUGAUCCUGGCUCAGAUUGAACGCUGGCGGCAUGCCUAACACAUGCAAGUCGAACGGAAACGAUGCUAGCUUGCUAGCAGGCGUCGAGUGGCGGACGGGUGAGUAAUAUAUAGGGAUCUGCCUAAUAGUGGGGGACAACAUGUGGAAACGCAUGCUAAUACCGCAUACGCUCUACGGAGGAAAGUGGGGGAUCUUCGGACCUCAUGCUAUUAGAUGAACCUAUAUCGGAUUAGCUUGUUGGUGAGGUAAUGGCUCACCAAGGCGACGAUCCGUAGCUGGUUUGAGAGAAUGAUCAGCCACACUGGGACUGAGACACGGCCCAGACUCCUACGGGAGGCAGCAGUGGGGAAUAUUGCACAAUGGACGAAAGUCUGAUGCAGCAAUGCCGCGUGUGUGAAGAAGGCCUUCGGGUUGUAAAGCACUUUCAGAUGUGAGGAAAAGCAGUCUAUUAAUACUAGAUUGCCGUGACGUUAACAUCAGAAGAAGGACCGGCUAACUCCGUGCCAGCAGCCGCGGUAAUACGGAGGGUCCAAGCGUUAAUCGGAAUUACUGGGCGUAAAGCGCGCGUAGGCGGAUAUUUAAGUCAGAUGUGAAAUCCCUGGGCUCAACCUAGGAACUGCAUUUGAAACUGGAUAUCUAGAGUAUGGUAGAGGUGAGUGGAAUUUCAGGUGUAGCGGUGAAAUGCGUAGAGAUCUGAAGGAACAUCAGUGGCGAAGGCGACUCACUGGGCCAUUACUGACGCUGAGGUGCGAAAGCGUGGGUAGCAAACAGGAUUAGAUACCCUGGUAGUCCACGCCCUAAACGAUGUCAACUAGGUGUGUGAGAGUCUAACUCUUGCGUAUCGAAGCUAACGCGAUAAGUUGACCGCCUGGGGAGUACGGUCGCAAGACUAAAACUCAAAUGAAUUGACGGGGGCCCGCACAAGCGGUGGAGCAUGUGGUUUAAUUCGAUGCAACGCGAAGAACCUUACCUGGCCUUGACAUGUAGUGAACUUACCAGAGAUGGUUUGGUGCCUUCGGGAACACUAACACAGGUGCUGCAUGGCUGUCGUCAGCUCGUG
rnacentral:rRNA from 1 species